rnacentral:rRNA from 1 species
GACGAACGCUGGCGGCGUGCUUAACACAUGCAAGUCGAGCGGUAAGGCCCUUUCGGGGGUACACGAGCGGCGAACGGGUGAGUAACACGUGGGUGACCUGCCCUUAGCUCUGGGAUAAGCCUAGGAAACUGGGUCUAAUACCGGAUAUGACUCCAUGACGCAUGUUGUGGGGUGGAAAGCCUUGUGCGGCUAGGGAUGGGCCCGCGGCCUAUCAGCUUGUUGGUGGGGUGAUGGCCACCAAGGCGACGACGGGUAGCCGGCCUGAGAGGGCGACCGGCCACACUGGGACUGAGACACGGCCCAGACUCCUACGGGAGGCAGCAGUGGGGAAUCUUGCGCAAUGGGCGAAAGCCUGACGCAGCGACGCCGCGUGAGGGAUGACGGCCU